rnacentral:tRNA from 5 species
GAGACACUAGUAAAAUCACUAUGACACUGCCUUGUCAAGGCAGAAUUGCAGGUGGAAGGCCUGCGUGUCUUA